AGGAGCUAUAGUCUAGCGGUAGGACCCCGGAUUUUGAUUCCGGUAGCCUGGGUUCGAUUCCCAGUAGCUCCUG
rnacentral:tRNA from 1 species